rnacentral:rRNA from 1 species
AACGAACGCUGGCGGCAUGCCUAACACAUGCAAGUCGAACGAGACCUUCGGGUCUAGUGGCGCACGGGUGCGUAACGCGUGGGAACCUGCCCUUAGGUUCGGCAUAACUCCCCGAAAGGGGUGCUAAUACCGGAUAAUGUCUUCGGACCAAAGAUUUAUCGCCUUUGGAUGGGCCCGCGUUGGAUUAGCUAGUUGGUAGGGUAAUAGCCUACCACGGCGACGAUCCAUAGCUGGUCUGAGAGGAUGAUCAGCGACACUGGGACUGAGACACGGCCCAGACUCCUACGGGAGGCAGCAGUGGGGAAUAGUGGACAAUGGGCGAAAGCCUGAUCCAGCAAUGCCGCGUGAGUGAUGAAGGCCUUAGGGUUGUAAAGCUCUAUUACCCGGGAUGAUAAUGACAGUACCGGGAGAAUAAGCUCCGGCUAACUCCGUG